rnacentral:rRNA from 1 species
GACGAACGCUGGCGGCGUGCUUAACACAUGCAAGUCGAACGGAAAGGCCCUGCUUUUGUGGGGUGCUCGAGUGGCGAACGGGUGAGUAACACGUGAGUAACCUGCCCUUGACUUUGGGAUAACUUCAGGAAACUGGGGCUAAUACCGGAUAGGAGCUCCUACUGCAUGGUGGGGGUUGGAAAGUUUCGGCGGUUGGGGAUGGACUCGCGGCUUAUCAGCUUGUUGGUGGGGUAGUGGCUUACCAAGGCUUUGACGGGUAGCCGGCCUGAGAGGGUGACCGGCCACAUUGGGACUGAGAUACGGCCCAGACUCCUACGGGAGGCAACAGUGGGGAAUAUUGCACAAUGGGCGGAAGCCUGAUGCAGCAACGCCGCGUGCGGGAUGACGGCCUUCGGGUUGUAAACCGCUUUCGCCUGUGACGAAGCGUGAGUGACGGUAAUGGGUAAAGAAGCACCGGCUAACUACGU